CUUUCUAAAGCUCUGAUCAGUCAAGAAGGGGGUUGUAUCAAUCCUCAGAACCCUGAGUGGAACUUUCUACAGGAUUUAUUAGGAGAAAAACCUUCCCGGAAGCUGCAGAAGGACAAAUACAGAAUCCGUGUCUGGGAGAAACCUCGUGGCCUGGUCUCCAUUAUUUGAGAUGAGUUACAUCUUGGAGGCCUGAUCUUUUGGCCAGAAGGAGAUUAAAAAGAUGCCCCUCAAGAUGGCUGUGCCUGUCAGCUGCAUGGAGCUUCGUUCAAGUAUUUUCUGAGCCUGAUGGAUUUACAGUGAUCUUCAGUGGUCUGGGGAAUAACGCUGGUGGAACCAUGCACUGGAAUGACACACGCCCGGCACAUUUCAGGAUACUAAAAGUGGUUUUAAGGGAGGCUGUGGCUGAAUGCCUCAUGGAUUCUUACAGCUUGGAUGUCCAUGGGGGACGAAGGACUGCAGCUGGCUGAGAGGGUUGAGAUCUCUGUUUACUUAGAUCUCUGCCAACUUCCUUUGGGUCUCCCUAUGGAAUGUAAGACCCCGACUCUUCCUGGUGAAGCAUCUGAUGCACGUUCCAUCCGGCGCUCAGCUGGGCUUGAGCUGACCAUACUCCCUGGAGCCUUCUCCCGAGGUGCGCGGGUGACCUUGGCACAUACAGCCAUCAUGAUGGUACUUUAAGUGGAGGCUGAAUCAUCUCCCCUUUGAGCUGCUUGGCACGUGGCUCCCUUGGUGUUCCCCUUUUACUGCCAGGACACUGAGAUUUGGAGAGAAUCCUGUUACACCUGGGAUUUAGGCACUUUCAAUCUGAAAAAAUACAUAUCCUUUCAGCACUCUGGACGGACUUGAGAACUGUCCUUACGUGACCUAAAGCUGGAGUAUUUUGAGAUUGGAGAAUUAAGAGCCAGUCUUGGUGCUCUGUGUUCACCUGGUUCAUCUGAGGAGCUGCAUCUACCCUGCCCAUGCCAUAGAUCCUGCCCUGUUUGCUUCUCCUGUUGCUGCUAGUGGACAUGAGGUAACCACAGCCUAGUUCUGUGAUAAGCUCUUCACACCUGUACCCAUAUGGACUGUGGGAGAGUUUCUCUGAUAUGGACUGUGAUGCGGGUCACCCGAUAUAGAAUCACACACCUG
rnacentral:lncRNA from 10 species